GGCCCGGGAUCUCGCUGGCGCGGGAGGCCGCCUGCAAAGCGGUCGUGACCACAAGGGGUUCGAUUCCCCCCUGGGCUUC
rnacentral:tRNA from 1 species